UACAGAGGGGGCAAGCGUUGUUCGGAAUUACUGGGCGUAAAGGGCGCGUAGGCGGCCCGCUAAGUCGAACGUGAAAUCCCCGAGCUCAACUCGGGAACUGCGUCCGAUACUGGCGGGCUUGAAUCCGGGAGAGGGAUGCGGAAUUCCAGGUGUAGCGGUGAAAUGCGUAGAUACCUGGAGGAACACCGGUGGCGAAGGCGGCAUCCUGGACCGGCAUUGACGCUGAGGCGCGAAAGCUAGGGGAGCAAACCGG
rnacentral:rRNA from 1 species